UAGGCAGCAUGUAUCACCUACCAUUAAAAUGAUGAGAAAAAUGGACGCGUGUGAAGCAGUUACAGCUGACAUUAUUAAAAUUAUUAAUGAAAGAAUAACGGGUGUAGAUGGAGAUUUCAGUGGUAAAAGGGAGAAAAGGCGACUUCGUACCUUAUUAGACCAUCAGUAUGCCCACUCAAUCUUUGGUUCAAGGGUAUCGCAAUUUAGUCAGAAAACCAGUAACUCCAGCCACCGCUCUGUCAUAUCAAGUUUAGAAGCCAAACGUGUAGAUGCUGCAGCAGAAGUAGCAGCCAAGCAAGCUGCAUAUGAUGUUCUGCUAGAAGAAUCAAAGCAAAGAGAAAAAAUAAAGUGGCUAGAAGCACAACAUAAAGCAGCUCUUGAUGUCGAGGUAAAGGAACUAGAGCGAAUUCAAGCACAAAGAGAUCUGAAAGCAGCUCAAGCUAAACUUGAAAUCUACAAUCAAGAAACUGAGAAGGAAAAGACUAAUUUGUCCAAAGAUUGUAGUAGUUCAAAUGGAUCAGAUUCAGAUUUGUCUCUAAGUAUGGAAAAGCAAGAAACAUUUCAAAAGGUGUGUCGUGAAACCAAAAAGGCAACAGUUGAAGCGUCAGCGACUGAUAUGCCUCAUCUUAUUCAAGCAUUUCAAGAUGGCAUGUCUAUUAGCAAGCUACCGGUGCCAGAACCUCCUGUUUUUACUGGUGACCCUAUUCAUUUUAUUGAGUUUAAACAAUCCUUUGUGGCACUUGUUGACAAGAAAACCAUUUCUUCUGCUGAUAAGUUGUUUUAUCUAAAGAAAUAUGUGAGUGGUCCUGCUGGAAAAGCUUUAGAAGGAACCUUCUUCAGAACAGAUGCUGAAGCCUAUCAAGAUGCAUGGAACAAACUAAACAAUCAUUAUGGCCAACCAUUCGUAAUACAAAAGGCCUUUAGAGAAAAGCUGGCAAGCUGGCCCAGAAUUCACCCAAAGGAUGCCAUUAGUCUUCAGGCCUUCUCUGACUUUUUAAAUGCAUGCCAAGGUCCCAUGCCACAUGUCAAAGGUCUCCAAAUUUUAAAUGAUUACCAAGAAAAUCAGAAACUUGUGUUGAAAUUACCUGAUUGGGCAAUCAGCAAUCUCUUUCUGAAAAUCAUGAGUAUCCUACUUUUAAAGAAUUUGUUGCAUUUGUGUCCACUGAAUCAGAAAUUGCUUGUAAUCCUGUUACAUCCUUUCACAUUCUUCGUGCUGCAGAACCUGUCACUGAGAAGAUAAAUCUGAAAGAGACCAAGAGAAACCGAGUUAGAGUUUUCCCCACUCAAUCGAACACAGAGAGUCGAAAAGUGAUCAAACCUGUAAACAAAAUGCUGUGUGUGCUUUGUCAGGAAGAUAAUCACCAACUUGACAGCUGUUGUAGUUUUCUCAGCAAACCAUUGGAGGAACGACA
ensembl:lncRNA